UCGAGAAUUUUUCACAAUGGGCGAAAGCCUGAUGGAGCGACGCCGCGUGGGGGAUGAAUGGCUUCGGCCCGUAAACCCCUGUCAUUUGCGAGCAAACCUCUUCUGAUAAUACCGGAAGAGUUGAUAGUAGCGAAAGAGGAAGGGACGGCUAACUCUGUGCCAGCAGCCGCGGGAAUACAGAGGUCCCAAGCGUUGUUCGGAUUCCCUGGGCGUAAAGGGUGCGUAGGUGGCUGGGUAAGUUCGGUGUGAAAUCUCCAGGCUCAACCUGGAAAUUGCAUUGAAUACUAUUCAGC
rnacentral:rRNA from 1 species